CCCUAACACUACUCGAUCCCUCCUCGCUCAACCAAGGCAGGCGGCGGCCGCCAGCCCGCCACCACCACUCAUCCCCGCUCUUCCCUCGUUUCUUAGUUUUCUCUCUCGAUCGAGUGCAAGAAUCGAGUGUGAGUGCGUGACGCGAAGCAAGGAAAGGAGGAGGUGCAGAUGUAGCCGCAAAUGAAGAGCAAGAUGCUGCCUCCGCUGGAUGUUCCGUUCACGAAGACCACAUCUGUAGCUGCUUUGAAGUCCCGAGUAAAUUUGCAUCCACGUGCGGCAGCUGGUGAAUAUUAAUAUCUAGUUGAUCCCACGGGGCCCGGUCGGGGUUCGGGGACCCGACGGGGACGGGGACGGGGGGAGAUUUUCCCCGAUUGAAGUUUCGGGGCCGGGGCGGGGAUCAGAAAACGGAGAUCGGGGCGGGGACGGGAGCUGCACCCUCGCCCCGCCCCGUUGCCAUCCUGACUCCCAAAUCACGCUUCCUCGUUGACCUCAGGAACCCCCAUCCACAUCGCCUGCUUCGCUCGCCGCGAGACGCGCCGCCGCUGGAGACGAUCCCGUCCACGGCAAUCUGUUCGAACUGCCGCCGCUCGUUUAUUGGUUGCGGAUUUCUACAAUCUAUGGCCUCCCGCUUCCACAUCGUUCCAUGGAGCUCGUCAUCCUGGCGUGGGCACCGGAGAUGCAGAUCUUAGCGGUGGUGCAGAUCGAGCAUUGGUUCCCUGCAAGCAGCGAGCGCCCUCAAGAGUUUCCCCGGCGUGAGUUGCCAGGCAUGGCUACUGGCUUACUGGUACGGGAAGACAUACGAGAGGGACGGCGGCGCACCAGUGGACGCGGGCAUCCUGACCGCGGCUGCAGGUCGUCCAGGCACGGUGGUGCUAUCUCUCAGCAUCGGUGGCGGACAGUGCCAGUUAGCUACUACAAUGGAGACUAAAAUCAUUUGAGCAUGGGAUCGCAGCUGAUCAUGCUUACCACCCACUAAACACGAUCAAGAUGCUUCCUGCUGUACUUAGGCACACUGGACACUGGAAUACUCUCUGCUCAUGAGCGCUCUUUUUUGGUGCAGAAGUAAAUACAUAGACCUAUGUUUUAUUUGGUGUACCUUUGAUUGAUGGACAAAUGUAUCAAUAUAUUCUGUACAACAACUCAAUCUAGGUGGCAUAUGCUAAAACUCAGUUUGAGACUUUGUGCUAUGCCCCCACUAUUGUCGUAACUUAUUGUAUAAAUAUGGUACAGAGACAACUGAAAGUAUCGUAUUGUGGGAUAUCUGAUUCUAAUAAACUAUCAUUUGUAGUAA